rnacentral:lncRNA from 8 species
GGACAGGGUGGUCUCCAUCGUCAGGAUGAAACUCACAGGGAGGUUACCCUCAGGUUCACCCUCCCCCAACUUCUCCCAGUCUGGGAUGCCAGACCAGCCUCAAUGGACCGGACCCCCACCUCAACUAGCCUCGUCGCCCGUCUCCCCGCCCGCCUCUGGCGCUGUGCACUCCACAGACGGAGCCUUCCUAUUCAACAUGGACACAGGAAAAAAACACCCCCACCAACUUCCUGUAGAAUCGGUCCAAUCGGUUAAUAUAGCCACGGCUCUGUGCCAGUACGGCUCAGUGACUGUUAUAUGGAUUGGAGAGGAAGCAGUAUGUUGUUGAUGUAACUGUGAACUAGACGACAUUGCCCCUCAGAUCACCUAUCCAGUGUUAUUUUUCUGACAUAAGACAUUGUAUUAUACCUUUUUACAAGGCCAUAUUUAGAUGACCCCUGUUAAACCAUGGGGCCUGUUUGCAAUUCAGCCAAUCGUGAAGAAUAGAGCUGACUACUUCAAAAUGGAGUUGCCUCAAUGGCGCAGCCCAUGCUGUCACGGAUGCUAGGAUGGUACAUGUACAAAGAUGAGUCCUCUAUCUCUAUGGUGCGGCCUUACAUUUUUGUAAUGUGUCUUUUUUUCCAAACUCAACAGUGAAGAUGGUAUCGAUCAAACACUGGUCGUGUUCCCCUGCUGAGACGUUGCAUGCAUCAGCCAAUGGUUGCGUGCCACGUCAUCGACUGUGCCGUCGGGCACCCGAUAGCUAUAACAUAUGCUUAGCUGAUACGUAAAAUAGCUAUCCAAGAGUUGUAAGAACUGACAUUCGUCAGCAACGUCUGAGGAGAGGAACACAACCGAUAACUGCCUUUCAGGGCUCUACCUGGAACCAAAAAUGGGGACAGCCGAAGAACCUUCUUGGAAUCAUUUUUUUCUAAGAGUAUCAUUAUCCAAUCAGAACAUUCAGAACCCACAUCACACCUAAUCAUACAAUCAGAAGCCACUAGGAAAACUCAUCAUCCACUCAAGAUAGACCAAGCAAACCUCUCCUCUUUACAAAAAUCAAAGGUCACUGAUAAUAGAAUGAUCUAAUAAAGGUAAAUGAAUCAAUAAACCAUUAUGAAUUAUUAGUUAUGUAGCAUGCUUAAUGAAUAAUCAAUGUUUUGAUCGAUUAGUCCGAUUAGUCCCAGAAAGUCUAGUAGAGGCUGGAGAGGGAGAGAAAUGUGUGUGUGUAUUUAGUGUGCCCAAGAGAGCAGGGGACAUAUGGUAGAGGGAGUAAAAAGUUCAAGGGUUUCCUAACGUUGAGGGAAAGGAACAGGCAGAGCAGGAUAGUGAUAAACAGUGUGGGAAGUCAAAGGGGGGAUGCAGUUAAACUGUUGGUGGUGUGUACUGGUAAAUGCAUGUGCGUGAGUAAAGAGAGAAAAUAUAUAAUGGCUGUUUUGUUAUCUUGACCUCAGAACGUUCUCUGAAUAAAGCCGAAU